rnacentral:tRNA from 2 species
GCCCACGUGGCGGAAUUGGUAGACGCGCAUGGUUCAGGUCCAUGUGCCGCGAGGUGUGGGGGUUCAAAUCCCUCCGUGGGCACCA